GCAGCAGGAUCCUGGCUGGGUCUGGACUUCAGGAGACAGCUUGGUCAUCCGCACAGAGCUGGCGUUUGAAAUCCUGAGCCUGACGGGAUUCUCAAAG